rnacentral:rRNA from 1 species
UCCUUAAGUGGGGGAUAACAUUUGGAAACAGAUGCUAAUACCGCAUAGAUCCAAGAACCGCAUGGUUCUUGGCUGAAAGAUGGCGUAAGCUAUCGCUUUUGGAUGGACCCGCGGCGUAUUAUCUAGUUGGUGAGGUAAUGGCUCACCAAGGCGAUGAUACGUAGCCGAACUGAGAGGUUGAUCGGCCACAUUGGGACUGACACACGGCCCAAACUACAUACGGGAGGCAGCAGUAGGGAAUCUUCCACAAUGGACGCUAGUCUUAUGGAGCACCGCCUCGUGAGUG